rnacentral:rRNA from 1 species
AGUGGGGAAUAUUGCACAAUGGGGGAAACCCUGAUGCAGCCAUGCCGCGUGUGUGAAGAAGGCCUUCGGGUUGUAAAGCACUUUCAGCGAGGAGGAAAGGGUGUAAGUUAAUACCUUACAUCUGUGACGUUACUCGCAGAAGAAGCACCGGCUAACUCCGUGCCAGCAGCCGCGGUAAUACGGAGGGUGCGAGCGUUAAUCGGAAUUACUGGGCGUAAAGCGUGCGCAGGCGGUUUGUUAAGCGAGAUGUGAAAGCCCCGGGCUCAACCUGGGAACCGCAUUUCGAACUGGCAAACUGGAGUCUUGUAGAGGGGGGUAGAAUUCCAGGUGUAGCGGUGAAAUGCGUAGAGAUCUGGAGGAAUACCGGUGGCGAAGGCGGCCCCCUGGACAAAGACUGACGCUCAGGCACGAAAGCGUGGGGAGCAAACAGGAUUAGAUACCCUGGUAGUCCACGCCGUAAACGAUGUCUACUCGGAGUUUGGUGUCUUGAACACUGGGCUCUCAAGCUAACGCAUUAAGUAGACCGCCUGGGGAGUACGGCCGCAAGGAUG